rnacentral:rRNA from 1 species
UACCAGCACCCCGGAGUGGUCGGACGUUUUAUUGGGCCUAAAGCAUCCGUAGCCGGUUCUACAAGUCUUCCGUUAAAUCCACCUGCUUAACAGAUGGGCUGCGGAAGAUACUAUAGAGCUAGGAGGCGGGAGAGGCAAGCGGUACUCGAUGGGUAGGGGUAAAAAUCCGUUGAUCCAUUGAAGACCACCAGUGGCGAAGGCGGCUUGCCAGAACGCGCUCGACGGUGAGGGAUGAAAGCUGGGGGAGCAAACCGG